AUAAAAAAAGAAAGAAAAAAAGAAGAGGUCAGUGCUGGUCCAAACAUGGUUGCACUGAGAUUUGGGUCUGUGUACAGUAGAUCUGGAGCACAUGACUUCAGUUUUGCUAUAUGGCAAUAGCAUCUACACUGCAGCUAAAUUGGGUUGUCACUUCACCUGUUCUGUACACACACAGACUUCAGUCACUUACAGGAGUGACAACCACAUUCUGUAACUGAAGUAAAUCCUGAAAAUUUCAGGUAGUGACAACUGCAUUUACAAAACUUCUAUGCAGUGUGUAUGGAAACGAACUGAACAACUAGUUGUUAACGACUAGGGCUGCCCCCUAAUUGUCGACUAAAUGUUAGUCGACUAAAAGAGGCUUAGUCGACUAAGAUUUUAUUAGUCGGGUAGUCACAGGAAAAAAAACAAACUCCACAGGAAGUGGUCAAGUCUCCGUGAGGGAGAGAUUGUUAACGGCGGGUCUUGAAAAAGGAAAUCCAAACGUUCGCCUAUCAUCCAUCAACCUCAAAUAUGGCUUAUCAUUUGAAACAUUUAAGUAGUAGAAACUUUAUGGCCGCUCACUCUAACAUCAACCUAGAUAAAUGUGCGCUAAAGUGUUCGUGUGGAGUGUGGAAGCUAAAGUAUAGCACACUUUACUGCACGACAUGGAGGCGCCAGCACGAGCACUUGCAUUUUUUUUUUUUACUUGAAAUACUCUGUAAUUUUUGUCAUACAGAUAAGAGUAAUACAUCAUUUUGAACUAUAAAUGGUCAAAUACUUUUAUUUGUGUAAACUCACAAUAACAAGAAAACGUGCUUUUGUACAGUAAAAAAAACAAACAGGAUGCGCUUUCUGCCAUCUCGGUCUCCCUGAACAGCAGAGCAGACAUGAGAAAUAUAUCCAUAGAAAGCUUGAAACAUCUACUUUUAAAGAACCAAUUAGAAUCGAAAACAAAUACUCCGAUUACGUAAUCCAUAUGAAAGGUGCAUUUCUCUCUAUAGGUGCGAUACUGCGGAAAUGAUGAGUCAGCAUCCUCAACUUCAACUUUGCAGCUGACACUGACUCAGAAAACACUAGUUUAUUAAUAGACAAUUAAAAUGUUAUUUUAUUAUAAAAAAAAGUUACAUAACUUGCUAAUCACUGCUUUUGCCAGUGCUUUGCGGCAAGCUUUUGCGUGCACUGGAGCGUGAGGCAUUUAUUCCACCUCCCAGAUAUAUUUAAGGAAUUAAAUUAAUAUAAACAUGCGAUUAGUCGACUAAUGGCUAAAUGAACGACUACUUUAGUCGGGGACAGCCCUAUUAAUGACACAUUUAAACGUGCAUCAGAGAUGUGUCUCUUUUCUGUAUGCGCAGCACAUGAAAAUCACAGGGAAAGAGGUACACAGUAAAAUCAACAGUGUUAAUCAAACAGUGUUAAUCUGCAUUUACUCUUAAAGAGUUAACUUAACAACAAAUAGUGAAAAAUUGAAUUCUGCCUCGUUAAAUUUAGUCUGUUAAGCUCCACCCCUUAAGCCAACUCUGAAGACCUGAGCAGUUCUCUCGUCGCCAUUUUCCUUUGCCUCGCACUAAAAGGUAAGCUCUUUUAAUUAACUUAUUAAAACUUAAGUUUAAUAUUUGAUGUUAACAAUUGUGAUAAUAAUAAUGCAUAAGUUGUAGUUUUAUGAUCUGGUGUAAUUUGGUUUAAACUCGGAAAUAUCGAAUAGGUAACUUCGCUGCAAGUCAGUAGGCCUAUGUUGGAGAAAUGUGCUUGUUUUCGUCACAAUGUGGUAAUGAUAAAGUUUAAAUUAUGUCAGUAAUCUUACUUAAUUUGAUUUCCAGCUGUAGUUAGGUAUAUCCGUUUAAUGCGUUUAUAGUUUUUUUUUUUAACGUUUAAUUAUCUAACGUCACAAUAGGGGGUAAGCUGACACAUUUUUAUGUAUUGGAUGGUCGAAAUCUUGCAGGUAGGGCUGUGGCUGGUGUUUUCAACAUUUUAUAAUGUAAACGUAACGUGUAGCACGUAAUGUCGUUGUGGAUUGAAAUGUUUUCUUACAACGUUACAUACAGAACAAAAACAUGUCAGAAUAAAUUAUGUUAUGUAAACCGUCCGAAUGUUAUAUAAAUUAUAUAUUUGCUACUGUUCAGCUCCCGACAGAUAAAAUGUGUCCAAUGAAGUUAAUUAUAAAUUCGAUUUGUCAAAUGCCACCAUUGCAUUUUUAUUGAAGACACAUUAGUUAGAUGGCGCUGUGGGAUAGCGUUAACAUGGCCCAACACUGAGCAACGAAGAAGGCGAUGGGGAAGGCGGAAAGUCUCAUUUAAAAACACCCGCUUUUUUGUUUCUCGUCACUUUAACCUUCUGCAAUGGUUACGGUAACACGAACAACUAUUUUACGUUAUUGCUGUUAGACAUACACAAUCAGUUGACUUGAGCAGAGCGGCACAUGUUAUUGUUAGUACAAGUAACGCAUUUUGAAAUUCAGACUCUUUGUUAGGAGUGACUGUUAUUGGCAUGGCAUAGCACAUAUUGCUGAACUUUUUAUAAUUAACAAGCUUCUCCUGUGCACUCAAACAAGUCCCUGUCUUCAUCCUUUGACUCCACUGACUCACAGGAUACACUCAUUAUUGAAGAAAGGUUUUCAAGUACACGAAUGAGGCUAGAUGAUGAAGCUAAAAAAGGUGGGCAACACGUUUUUAUUACUUAUGCAUUUGAGGGGGAAAGAAAAAAAAAACUGACUGUUGAAACUAAUAAAUCAAUUAAAAAAUCCAACAUUAAUUUGAUCUUUAUAUGAUUAAACAUUUAGAAAAAUAUGUAUAAAUAAAUCUUGUUUGAAGUAGUAUUUUUACAUACCAUAUUUAUGUUUUUGUUUUGAUUCUUUUUUUAAUGAUUAAGCUGGUGGAAUCCACUGCAGAAAUCUGGUGGGGAGCUUAUAAUAAAUGAAUAGAAUCAAAUUACGUCUUUGGGGGAUGAAACGAGAAAAACUGCCAAUAUCCUGUCAGCUGACAUGACAGAAAAGAAUGGUACAUCACAACCAAGAAAGGUGAAUGAGAAAUAUGAGUAAUUGUGGUGUUGUUCCUGUAUCUCAGUGACCCCUUCUUCAAAAAUGGCUAGGAGCAUUGCUAUGUUGGUGAGAGUGCCACCAGAUACUUGCCAUGGAGAAUCAAAACUAUACAGAGAGGCAUUGCUAAAGAACAAGGAGUAUCAUUUGAAGGAAAAGGAUUGUCUUGUCAAGGCCAGAAAAGGCAUCUACGUCUCAAAUAGGGAUAUCUUGUCUUCUAGAAGGUCUGUUUUUAUUUAUUAUUAUUUUUAUUAUUAUUUUCUUGUAGUUUUCUUUGAGCAUUGAGGAGUAGGGCUGCAACAAACGAUUAUUUUGAUAAUCGAUUAAUCUACCGAUUAUUGGAACGAUUAAUCAACUAAUCAUCGAUUAUUGUACUGGUUAAUCAGUAUGCUUUGUUUGAUUAUUUGACUAGCAAUACUUUAACUACUUUAACUAAUAAUUAAAACAAGGAAAUCACUUCAGCUUUUUAAAGUGUAUUUUUAAUGAAUUUGUUAAAAAUACUGUUAAAAUGACAUACUGUGUUUUUAUUAAGUCUGGGAAUUGUAAUAACUUUUUAAUAAGAGUAAAAAUAUGAAUAUGUAAUAUUGUGCAAAAAUUUCUGAAAAAAUGCUCCUCUCUAGAUUUCUUCUUUUUUUUCUUUUUACUAACUAUCGAGUUUAAGGUCACUGAAUGGCUUUCCUGAGGUAAAUGUAACAUUUUGUGACAUAUUUGUUUGCAAGAUGUUUUAUUGCGGUCUUUCUGCGGUUGAAACAUACUUUUUAAUAUUCAUUCAUGUUUUUUUCGUGCUGUAAUAGCAGAAAAGAGGAAGAGAUAAUAGGUUCACGUGCCACUUGACCUGAAGCGCUACAGCGAUCUAUCACUCCACAUUAAAGAGCGCCAAAACCACAUGUACUGUUUGAAUCCCGUAGUAAAGUUGACAGAAUUUAAAAGUUAAGACUUUGUUUUAUAUCAGAAGUAACCUGAUCUGUCUUAUCUGUCGGCACGCUGUCUGUGUCCUCUAUGCUCUGCUAUGUUUCACUGCGUGAGAAAAUGGACAUGUGGCGAACAGUUUGAAUGAGUUUGAGUUUGAAUGAGAGUUGGUGGCCCUGCAUGACAGCAUUUUUUGUAGUUAUGCUAAACGUUAUGUUUUAUGCUAUGUUAAACUCCCACAUUUUACGGGUUCGACUUCGUUUGCACUAUGCACUCUGAAGCACCGUGUCUUCUUCUACUGGAUCCGAUCCGGGAGGGCUGCAUUACAGUAUUGCGCUACAGCGCCCCACUGGUCAAACCACGCUAUUGCAGGCCCUUCAAAUAGAUCAUAUGAGAUCAAAAGACUAUUCGACAACAAAAAUAUUUGUCGACAAUUUUUUAUUGUCGAUGUUGUCGAUAAUGUCGACUAAUCGUUUCAGCCCUAUUAAGGAGCAUCUUCAAGACAUCGCUGGAAGUGCUCAGCCCUAUGCUGUGGGAAGAAGAAUUCAGUUCACCAGUUCUUCAUUCUUGAUCAACAUGUCAUUCCAUGCAAGUCAGCCUCUUCUCUUGAUGCCUUUGAUGACAUUUUUAAUGGGAUUAAUUCACCCAAAAAUGAAAAUUCUGUCAUCAUUAACUCUCCCUCAUGCCGUUCCUAAGACCUUCGUUCAUCUUCGAAACACCAAUGAAGAUAUUUUAAUGAAAUCUGAGACAUUUCUG